rnacentral:lncRNA from 1 species
ACGCCUACUCUCAUUUGGCAUCCGUUACGGCGUUGCCUCCAGGCUCCAGUUGCAUAACACUCUUGAACCUGUCUCGAUUGGUUUGGUUUUGCAGCGUCCUGUAUGAAGUUUUCCCCAUGUCAUUCCUAAUGGAGCAGGCUGGAGGUCAGUCCUUCACAGGCAAAGAACGGGUAGGGAUUUUCGCGCCUCUAUUUUCUGUAGAAAACAGAGCAUUUCUGCUCCCUUGCCAUAGAGCUGCUUGUUCAGUACCUGUACCUUGAUGCGGCGAAAUAUGUUGAUGAAUUGCCACUGCAGGCUCUUGAUCUAGUCCCAACCAAGAUCCACGACAGAUCCCCGAUAUUCCUCG